AAUCAACGCUGGCGGCGUGCCUAAUACAUGCAAGUCGAACGCGAAAGUCCCGCAAGGGAUGAGUAGAGUGGCAAACGGGUGAGUAACGCGUGGGUGACCUGCCUUCGAGUGGGGGAUAACGUUUCGAAAGGAACGCUAAUACCGCAUGACAUCCUGCUUUUUAACAGGCGGAGAUCAAAGCCGGGGAUCGCAAGACCUGGCGCUUGAAGAGGGGCCCGCGUCCGAUUAGCAGUUGGUGGGGUAAUGGCUCACCAAGGCAUCGAUCGUAA
rnacentral:rRNA from 1 species